GGUUCAAGUGAUUCUCUUGCCUCAGCCUCCCAAGUAGCUAGGAUUACAGGCGCCUGCCACCACGCCCGGCUAAUUUUGUAUUUUUAGUAGAGACAGGGUUUCACCAUGUUGGUCAGGCUGGUCUUGAAUCCUGACCUCAGAUGAUCCACUCACCUUGGCCUCCCAAAGUUCUGGGAUUACAGUCAUGAGCCACGACACCCAGCCAAUUAUAACUAAACUUUUAAAAAUAUUUGUCCCCAUAGUUAGAAUUUUCAUUAGUGUAUUUAUCUUUUUCAUGUAGUCUUGUUUACAAAGGCCAUUUUAAAAGUUGCUGUCCCAGGCUUAUAAAGUAAUUUUAUAAUGUCUUCCUAUCGACCAUAUGAAAAGCAUUCAUCUCUGAGAAAGUAUCAUAAAGAAAUUCUACUGUAAUAAUUCAAAUAUUAAAGUAAACAUAAAAAAUUAUAUUGUAUGACAGAAUACCAAAAGAAAUAGAAAAUCUCCGCAAGAGGGUAUUUAAUUUCUGAUGAAAACAAAAUAGUACUCUUUACAAUUUGGCCUAUCACAUGACAGUAUUUCUCAAAAUCCUGCUAAAUUAAUGUUGGAGCACACUUCUUCAGGCAUUAAUGAUUUCAGUAAUGGUCAAUGGUAGUUGAUACAGAUAAGAAAUAACUGAUAGUGAUAUCAAAUCUAUACAUAUUUGACUCUCCCCACAUUUCUAAGUGAUCUAGACCAGAGCUAGGUUGUUUAUAUGGUAGCCACUAGUUACAUGUGGGCUAUUUAUAUUUAAAUUAAUUAAAUGUAAAUAAAAUUCAAAAUUAAGUUUCUCUGUUGCACUAGCCAUGUUUCAAGUACUCAAUAGCCACAUAUGGCUAGUGAGUACCAUAUUGGAUGGUGCAGCUAUGGAACAUGUCCAUUAUCACAGAAAGUUCUACUAAACAAGGUUGGUCUACAUUAGAGAGGUUACUACUGAUGAAUGGAAAAUCUCAAAUAUAUACAUAAAUGUGUGUGUGUGUGUAUAUAUAUAUAUAUAUAUAUACAUUUAUUUCUAUAGCAAUUUUCCUUUUGUUAUAGGAGGUUUCAUUAAAUAUGUCAAAUUUAAAUUUUUUUUCUGGAAAAAUUUAUAUUUUAAUGUAAACAGUUAAAAUUGUGCCAUGAGCAUUGUACUAUAGAUUUUCAUUUCCCUUGUAUUACAAGGAGAAUGAAUUCAAAAGAUUCCAUUUUCUCAAAAUAGUGAAUUAUAACAUUACCUGGUCUUCCCCUUCAAUUAGGAUUUUCUUUCUUUAUAAACAUCUAUUCUAAGCCCUCUCUGCUUCCAAUUUUACUCAGCCAAAGCCCACUUUUAUUAUGCAGCAAGGAAAUCCCACUUCUGGCCUCAAACUUCACUUUCAGUGGAGUUUGGUAGCACUUCCGGUCUCAGACUCCACACUUGUGAAGUUUGCGAGUUACAAGCGUGAGCCACCACACUCAGCCACAAGCUGGUUUUUCUCUGCUCUCACCCCACAACAACCAACACGGAAGACUUCUGUGACCAAAUGUUUAGGGAUUUCUCCCCACUAGCAAACACGUAAUUCAUUCUGCAGCAGAUACUAGCUGGGCAUCCUCUCCUUGGAGACAGCAUCUGAUCCCAUAGGUUGAGAAAUCAGCCCCCAAGACUACUCCCUACUUUGAUGCCAAUCACAAGCCCCAGGUUGUUUUAUCUGUGCUUCUGACUGGUGACUAUAAAUCAGGGUUCCCACAACUCCCUCUUUGGGUUUGCUUAAUUUGCUGGAGUGGCUCACAGAACUCAGGGAAACACUUACAUUUACUGGUUUAUUAUAAAAGAUGUUCCAAAGGCUACAGAGGAAGAGGACUGUGAACCCCGAGCAUUUGAGACAGGUCUCGGUAAAUUUAGAAAGCUUAUUUUACCAAGGUUGAGGAUGCACACCCAUGACACAGCCUCAGGAAGUGCUGACGUCAUGUGCCCAAGGAGGUCGGGGCACAGCUUGGUUUUAUGCAUUUCAGGGAGACGUGAGACAUCAAUCAAUAUAUGUAAGAAGUACAUUGGUUUGGUCUGGAAAGACAGGACAACUUGAAGCAAAGGCUGGAAGACUGCAAGCAGGGAGGAGGCUUCCCGGUCAUAGGUGAGAGAGGAAUGGUUGCAUUCUUCUGAGCUUCUGAGUAGCCUUUAAGGCAGUCAGAUAUGCAUCUAUCUCAGUGAGCUAAGGGAUGACUUUGGAUAGAAUGGGAGGCAGAUUUGCCCUGAGCAGAUCCCAGCUUGAAGGAGCUCAAGAUAUUUUCCUUUCACAGGUGCAUAGGGUGAGGUAUGGAGGAAGGGAUGGAGAGAUUCCAUGCCAUCCCUGGGUGCAACACCCCCCCACCCCCACUAGGAAUCUCCACUUGUUCAGCCUUCUGGAAGCCCCCUGAACCCAGUCCUUUAGGGUUUUUAUAGAAUCAUUACAUAGGGCAUGAUGGAUUAAGUGACUGGCUGUUGGUGAUUCAGGUCACCGUUGAGCCCAUCUCUCCUCCCUGGAGGUUAGGGGUGGGGCUGAAAGUCCCAACCCUCUAAUCCUUCCUUGGUCUUUGGGUGACUUAGCCCCUAUCCUGAAGCUACUCAUUAACAUACAAAAAGAUGAUCACUUUAAGGAUUCUAAGGCUGUUGGGAGUUGUGUGCCAGGAAAGGGGACGAAGACUAAAUAUAUAUUUUACAAGUUCACACAGUCCAUUGGUCUAAACUGGUUACACAUUUUCAAGUGGUUUGUAAGGAAGGCAGGGGACGAUCAGGGUACAGAGGGCACACUUGGUGAGCAUGAACUUGUCUGCACAGCUGCUUCCCCCUGGGAUUCCCUGGCAUUUUGGGAGGUGGCAGCAUGUGGCCACGGCAGACACCCUCUUUAUUAGCACGUUGCUGUGGGCUGGUGUCCACCAUCUGGCCUCCAGGAGUCAGCCCACCUAUGGAAGGCAGUGACAUGCAUUGAUAUAAAAGCAAGCCAGGCAUGGUGUCUCACACCUCUAAUGCCAGUACUCUGGGAGGCUCAGGCAGAAGGAGUACUUGAGGCCAGGAGUUCAAGACCAGCCUGGGCAGCAUAGCAAGAUCCUAUACUAAAAAAAUUAAAAAAUAAGGCUGGGCACGGUGGCUCACACCUGUAAUCCCAGCACUUUGGGAGGCCAAGGCGGGAGGAUCAUGA
rnacentral:lncRNA from 10 species